rnacentral:rRNA from 1 species
UACGUAGGGAGCAAGCGUUGUCCGGAAUCAUUGGGCGUAAAGCGCGCGUAGGUGGCCCUGUAAGUCCGUUGUGAAAGUCAAAGGCUCAACCUUUGAAAGCCGAUGGAUACUGCAGGACUAGAGUACGGAAGAGGCGAGUGGAAUUCCUGGUGUAGCGGUGGAAUGCGCAGAUAUCAGGAGGAACACCAAUAGCGAAGGCAGCUCGCUGGGACGUUACUGACACUGAGGCGCGAAGGCGUGGGGAGCGAUCCGG